CUAAAUUACUAAUGAAAUUCUAUUGUCGGUGAUUUUUAUAGUUAUUUUUAAAAUUUUUUGUAGUGUUUUAAUUUUUUUUUGAAACAUAAGUCAAAGGUAAAGUAGAGAGAUUAUUAGAUGCACUGAUACAUAUGACACAUAUACCAUAUUUUACAAUUAUUUAAGACUCACUCUCUAUAUUACAAUAAGAGCUACCUUUUUGU
rnacentral:misc_RNA from 1 species